GUUGUGACAUCUUCUCCUGAGGCAACCACCACAGAGAUAACCACUGUGGAGAUAACUUCAGGGCCAGCCACAACAUCAGUUACGACAGCUGGACCAACAACUACACAAGCAUCAACAACUACGACAAAUGUCACUACAGUAUCGGUUCCAUCAACUACAGCUGCAGCUACAACCUCGGCUGUGCCCACAACAACUGAAGUGGUCACAACAACUAGUGCUGUUUUGACUACCACUCCUACAGGAACAACCUCUGAGGAGACAACUGUUGUGACUACCAGCCCAGUGUCAACUACCACUGGACAAGCAACAAGUACUGAAGUUUCAACCAGUAGUGUAACAACUACCUCAGCUGGUACAACUACUGCAGGUCCAACUUCAACUGAACAAACCAGUACCACGGUUGUGACAUCUUCUCCUGAGGCAACCACCACAGAGAUAACCACUGUGGAGAUAACUUCAGGGCCAGCCACAACAUCAGUUACGACAGCUGGACCAACAACUACACAAGCAUCGACAACUACGACAAAUGUCACUACAGUAUCGGUUCCAUCAACUACAGCUGCAGCUACAACCUCGGC